AAAAAGCUAAAGAAAAUAGGUCUUUCUUAUUUUGCCUUGGAGUUUAAGAGAAAUCUCCUCUCAGAUCUAUUAUGGGUUCUUCUUUUUAUUGAAAUUCAUGAUCUUAUUUGUUGAAACAUUGUCGUUUCUUUAAGAUUUCUUGUCGUGUUAUUAAUUAUUCAGUAAGCGAUCUAUUUGGCAUGAGAGAUACUUCCAUGGAGAGAUACAAGUUUUUCUCAUUUGGCGUUCUUGUUUGUCAGAAAGAUUUGUUAAGCUUCAAUUUUAGUUUCUCUAUGAAUGGAUCACUCCGUACCUUGUUCUUUAGAGAAACCUUCAGUUCAAUCUACAGUUGUGAGAGAUUGUGGUGUAAAGAAUUGAAAAGGUUAAUUACGCCAUUUCAUUUAAGUCUAUUUUCGUCAAUACGAAAAUUGUGGUGUAGAUAAAAUAAUUUUUGUAGUGGUAAUAUAAUUACCCAUUCACAAAUUAGGGAUUAAUUAUUUAAUUAACAUUUAUUAAACCCACAUCUCGCCAUUUCUCUCUCCUUAUCACAAAAAUCACAACUCACCAUUUUUCCCUCCAUCACAGAAAUAACUUCAAAAAUACCUGGCUCCGACAACAAAAACGAGAGGAAAAUUGACUCCGGUGGCCGCGUUUGUUAUNN
rnacentral:lncRNA from 1 species